AUAAUGCUCCGACGACGGUGAGAUACAAACUAUCAUACACGUGCGGCAAUUUCCGCCUAAACUGAACUUUAAAAGACGAGUCAACUUCGAGUCUCUAUAUGGAACAUGUUGUCGACGACGAGGUUCGCACAACGAGUUGAUGCAAUUUCCCAAUGCCAGUAAAGACCGAUUGAUGUUUGCUCCUUCUACUAAACGUUUGCCUCUAUUUUUCGUUGCACUCGCUCUCUCUGAGCCUGCUAAAUCAAUAAAAGAGAAUACGGAACGGACUUUAUGGGAAUUUUGGGACUCUGAUUCCUCCUGCUUCUCACCCGAUUUCGGAGUUUGCGUGAUAUAAAUCUGUAAAACGGCAUGCGAGCGUGACGAAACAGCAUUGGCUUCUGUUGGUG